rnacentral:rRNA from 1 species
GACCGGCCACACUGGGACUGAGACACGGCCCAGACUCCUACGGGAGGCAGCAGUGGGGAAUAUUGCACAAUGGGCGAAAGCCUGAUGCAGCGACGCCGCGUGAGGGAUGACGGCCUUCGGGUUGUAAACCUCUUUCAGCAGGGAAGAAGCGAAAGUGACGGUACCUGCAGAAGAAGCGCCGGCUAACUACGUGCCAGCAGCCGCGGUAAUACGUAGGGCGCAAGCGUUGUCCGGAAUUAUUGGGCGUAAAGAGCUCGUAGGCGGCUUGUCACGUCGGUUGUGAAAGCCCGGGGCUUAACCCCGGGUCUGCAGUCGAUACGGGCAGGCUAGAGUUCGGUAGGGGAGAUCGGAAUUCCUGGUGUAGCGGUGAAAUGCGCAGAUAUCAGGAGGAACACCGGUGGCGAAGGCGGAUCUCUGGGCCGAUACUGACGCUGAGGAGCGAAAGCGUGGGGAGCGAACAGGAUUAGAUACCCUGGUAGUCCACGCCGUAAACGGUGGGCACUAGGUGUGGGCAACAUUCCACGUUGUCCGUGCCGCAGCUAACGCAUUAAGUGCCCCGCCUGGGGAGUACG